GACGAACGCUGGCGGCGUGCUUAACACAUGCAAGUCGAACGGAAAGACCCUGCUUUUGUGGGGUGCUCGAGUGGCGAACGGGUGAGUAACACGUGAGUAACCUGCCCUUGACUUUGGGAUAACUUCAGGAAACUGGGGCUAAUACCGGAUAGGAGCUCCUGCUGCAUGGUGGGGUUUGGAAAGUUUCGGCGGUUGGGGAUGGACUCGCGGCUUAUCAGCUUGUUGGUGGGGUAGUGGCUUACCAAGGCUUUGACGGGUAGCCGGCCUGAGAGGGUGACCGGCCACAUUGGGACUGAGAUACGGCCCAGACUCCUACGGGAGGCAGCAGUGGGGAAUAUUGCACAAUGGGCGGAAGCCAGAUGCAGCAACGCCGCGUGCGGGAUGACGGCCUUCGGGUUGUAAACCGCUUUCGCCUGUGACGAAGCGUGAGUGACGGUAAUGGGUAAAGAAGCACCGGCUAACUACGUG
rnacentral:rRNA from 1 species